rnacentral:rRNA from 1 species
CCUACGGGUGGCUGCAGUGGGGAAUAUUGGACAAUGGGGGGAACCCUGAUCCAGCCAUGCCGCGUGUGUGAAGAAGGCCCUCGGUUGUAAAGCACUUUCAGUGAGGAAGAACGCCUGGUGGUUAAUACCCAUCAGGAAAGACAUCACUCACAGAAGAAGCACCGGCUAACUCCGUGCCAGCAGCCGCGGUAAUACGGAGGGUGCGAGCGUUAAUCGGAAUUACUGGGCGUAAAGCGCGCGUAGGUGGCUUGAUAAGCCGGUUGUGAAAGCCCCGGGCUCAACCUGGGAACGGCAUCCGGAACUGUCAAGCUAGAGUGCAGGAGAGGAAGGUAGAAUUCCCGGUGUAGCGGUGAAAUGCGUAGAGAUCGGGAGGAAUACCAGUGGCGAAGGCGGCCUUCUGGACUGACACUGACACUGAGGUGCGAAAGCGUGGGUAGCAAACAGGAUUAGAUACCCCGGUAGUC